rnacentral:rRNA from 1 species
AUGGCGGCGGCGGCGGCGUUCCUUCCGUACGACGUGGUCCUCCAGAUCCUCGAACGCGUCAAGGACGUGGCCACCUUCUUCCGCUUCGCCACGGCGAGCAAGGGGUUGCUUAGCCUCGUAGUGGCUGACCCCUCCUUCCUCCGCCGCUGCCUGCCGGAGGAUGCGUGCUACUCGGCCCCUUUUGCCGGCUUAUUUCUUCAGCGACGGCCCCGUAAAGGGUACCCUAAGCCGUGCCUUGUCCCGGCGCCACGGCCGCUAUGGGGCCCUCAUCGCCGCUCUCUAAGCUCAUUCAUCCCCAACCUCGACGAUUCCAGCUUCCUCGACCACGCGGUGCCCCUUGUCUCGCGCCACGGCCUCCUCCUCGUGCGCCUCCGCACCAGCGUCGCCGUCGACCCUGACCCGCCGAACAACGAGCUCCUGGCCGUGUGCAACCUGCUCACUGGUACGUUGGAUGUGCUCCCCUUGCUAGAGCAAGAGUAUGGUAUCGAUGACAUGGACGAGACCGGCUAUUCCAUACUGACCGCCGCAGACUGCUGGAGCUGGGACGACGAUGAGAAACAGGAGCAGCAGUUGCCCCUCUUCAAGGUGCUAGUCAUCGGCAUCUGCCAGUUCACGAGGUGGUACCGCCUCCGCAUCUUCUCGGCCGGUGAGCCACGAUGGGACAUGUCCUCCGGUUAUAUGUGGGGCGACAUCAGCGCCGAGGCACCCAUCAAUCUGCACAAUGCGGUCGUGUGUUGCGGCAUGGCACAUUGGCUCGUUCAGGGAUCUUCGACCUUUUGCACAAUUGAUGUGUCGGCCAGGACAGGCCACGUCUUCAUUACAGAUCUCUCAACCCCACUCCCCGGCAUAAAAUAUGAUGAAUCGUAUUUCAGUGCUGACACAGAGGGAAGGCUCACGUUGCUCCACCUGCAACGGGAAGGUCUUCAGCUCAAGUCCUGGAGAUGGGACGAUGAUGGCAUGUUGAUCGAUAUAGACGCUCGAGUGGUUAGGCUAAAACUUCCAUAUCCGCAUAAGGAGAUUCAGGGCGUCGUAUACACUUGCUUGGGAGAAAAGAGUGGCACGCUGAUCAUGAAAGACAACCAUGGACAUGUCUACGCUGCUGAUGUCAAGACCGGGGUGAUGCAUGAGGUAACAGGAAUUCCACGCAGGUGCAACAUCAGACGUAAGAAAAUAGCGCCCUUGGAUAUGGAUUGGCCGGCCUUCCUUGUUUCUCGGCUUUUUAUA